UAUCGCCUCUCUCCCACCCUAAAUUAGAGAGGUUCGCUGUGAUUUUGCCAAGACAUGUUCUACAUUACUGUUCAAAAAUAUAGACCAAACCCAAUUCCUACCUCUAAACCUAACCCUACCCUACCCAUAAUGUAUUCCUAAAAUCAGUGUGAAAUGAUUAAUAAACGUUGGAACGUUGUUCCAAGAUCAACACGAUUGCUGAUCCGGGAACAUGUUGUACUUGGUGAAAUCACGCUCACCACGAGGGAGGCAUGGAUGGAGCCAGAAGGGUUUGGGCGAAUCAGACGCUUGUUAUGUGACGCUCUCUACUGGUGGCAUGUCAACAAUGCAAGGAAACUAUUUCUAUUUUUUUCUUCAGUGGCUACAAGCAGUUUGCGAACGACUCUACAUCCGGAACUAUUCGAAGCGCAGGCUUUGGUUCCCCUUCGGACAUAUUUUAGUGAGCUCCCUGGAACAAACCAAAAAUUCAUUUUUCUCUUAGUAAAUUCUAUCACUAUCAGCCUACUUAAAUGAUCGAACGUGGAAGUACAUCAUUUAUAUUCAGUAUCUAAACACAUUGGGUGUCUGAAGAAGAGGGUCCUCUCAUGGUCCAUUCCUUAUGACUUCCUUCCUCUGCCAUAACAAACAUGUCACAUGGGUGAAGUUUUAACUAGGGAAAAAAGGCACAUGAGAACAAAGUGCAGCAACAAACAUUUAUCUUCACACCAGUGAGAUGAAUGAUGGAUAUGAUUGGGGUCGACUCAACCUGAAGUCUGUCACAGAGCAGAGCUCUCUGGACAACUUUCUGCCCACAGCUGAACUUGCUGGAACUGAAUUUGUUGCUGAGAAGCUGAAUAUAUAGUUCAUCCCAGCUGAGGUGAGGGCCGGCUUGCUUUCUGCUGAGGAGUCCACACACGGCCAAAGAAACUCCACGAGGAUAACAAACAGUUGUUACGAAUUCCCCGAAGAUGCACAGUCAUGGAGCAGCUCAUGUAUUCAGCAUUGUGUUCUGUCACUGCAGGCAUCCUUGGGAUGAGAGCACAAGCCCCAAGGUCCUGCAGCAAAACGAGAGGGACAGUUUCUUGACUGUCCUAUUAUUUUAAAUUGUAAUAAUAUUCCACAAUGUUACUGUUUUUAUUGUAUGUAUAAAAAAACAUUUCUAGGUUUCCAUUAACAUAAAAAAAAAAGUUUAAAUGACACAAAUACUUUGUUUUGAAUUGAUCUGUUAUUUUCAAAAGCAUUUUUUUUUUUUUAAGCGAACUGUGAACUUUUCCAUGUUUGGUGAUUAAGGGAGAUGAAGGACCAAGAGGAUCAGAGUCAUCCAGAACAGGAAGCAACAUCCAAAAAUGUCACAGAUCUUUAUUUGGAGCAUCGCACUCCAACAACUGAAGAGAAAGAUGAGAGUGUGCAGGAAGAAGAAGAGGAAACUGAAGAAGCAAGAGUCUGUGUUGAUGAAAGUGAAUGGCAGACAAGCUCUGAGGAAUCAUUAGACGUAGGUCAUGCUGAGGAGAAACCAGAAUCCACAGCGGUUUCAUCUUUCUACAACUCAAGCUGUUUGCUACGUCAAAAUGAGCUGCUGUGUGUUCUGGGCCAACAUGUAAAGCUGGUCAAAUCACAGUUGGAUUGGUGGAUCUGCCGGAAAUUCCUCAUUGUUUAAAAUAUCACUCAUAAUAACAAACAUGGGUUCCCACGGGUCCUUGAAAUCCUUGAAAGUUUGUGAAUCUGACUUUUUUUUUCAAGGCCCUGGGAAUUUUUUGAAAAUAAACAUACAUUGAUACAGGUCCUUGAAAGUGCUUGAAUUUAUUUUAUUUUAAGUUUUCUGGAAAAAAUACAAUUUUAUUCCUUCUGUUCCACUAUUGUGUUAUUUCGCCAACAUUUUGUGGCCUAGGCAUAGAAGCUUUCUUGAUUUACAAUAGUUACAUGCAUUUAUGUGUCUUCUUAAAAAAA